CCCUCCGACACCCCCAGCGGGCGGGCCACCCGGGCCACCGCCAGCGCAGUCAUCGGAGAGCGCACGCGAGCGGAGGGCGCAACGCCGGCUGGGACCCUAGGGAGGCCAGCCCAGGUUCUCUGGAAACAGGCUCUGGUGGCUGGAGACGACCGUAGCGACCCCCAGCAGCCCCGCCUCUCUCCUGUCACCAGCUGCGGAUCGCGGGGCAACCAGCUCUGGGACGCGCCCAACUUGGGGAGCUUGUCGCUCGCAGGGUGCGCGCUACUCGUCGGGCUGGCACCGGGCGCCCGGGCACACGCAACCCCCGCCCCUGUGCGCCUGCCGUUUGAGUGUCCUCCCGGGCGCCGCACUCUCCCAGGCUGGUGGCGGCAGCUCUCGCACCGGCACUCAGCCGGGAGGACAGAGAGCUCUGGGGAAAGCGACAGAGCAGGCAGGCAAGUUAGGGUUUCGCCCAGCUCUCAGUACUCUGGCGGCGUUCCGUCUUCUGGGUGGGAUGUGCUCGCAAAGACAGUAGCGGCGGCGGCAGCAGCCCGGAAGGCACCGGAGCCUUCCACCCCGCAGCGGGAGAGGAGAAGAUGGACGAGAGGACCGAAGGAAAGAUUGGAGUGAGCCAGCCGGAGGAAGUCCCACGGCCGCGGAACGUCUGUCCUGGAGAAGCCUUCUCCACCCUGGACACUUUAAGCAGUGCUGGCAGUAAAAGGCGAGAGGUUGCGGACUGGACAGCGAGCCUCCGGCGUUCCGGUGUUCCUCUGCCCUCUGGAGAAGACAAGUAAAGAAGUGUCCCGCCGGGGCAUCCACUUCAGCUAUGCAGACAUAGUCAAGAGAGGACUCAAGACACAGACUUCCUGGGUUGAAAUAUCUUCUACUUAUCUAUCAUCUAGUAAUAACCUGAGUCCAGAGUGAAUGCAUGGACUCAAAGUCAAGACGGAAAGAGAAGCUCUGCGACUGGAAUCCAUGAGUUUGCAAUGCAAGGAGAGAACAGCUCUGAGAUGACCUCCAUCAGUGCCCAGCUGCAGGGAAUCAUCUACAACUGCCCGUCUAGGCAGAGUUUGUCUUAUUUGCUUUGUUUCUGUUUUUGUUUUGUUCUUUUACUUGUGCCUCCUUACAGCAACAGUCCUAUCUAACACUACUGUGUGGACCUCAAAGCUGGUCACGUGACCUGUUAGAAAAGUGGUCCUUUCUAGGGUAGAAGUCAUGUCACUGAGGCUGCACCCAUGGAAAUCCUUCCCUAAAAAAUGACUCUCCUUGUAGCUGUGGAGAAGAUUCUAUUUUGCUUGGUGGUCAGAAUGAAAAAAAGGACCACUACAUUUGAGCUUCAAGAAAACAAAGACAUAUGUCUCACAGACACAUAAAAGAAAUGGAACUGAAGACUCAAGUGGCUGUGAAUGUCACAGACCUCAGAGAACCAGCAUGUCCCCUUCUUGUGAGAAGUCCCCAAUAAAAACACCACUGAAACAA